AGCAUAUCAAUAAGCGGAGGAAAAGAAACCAACAGGGAUUGCCCUAGUAACGGCGAGUGAAGCGGCAACAGCUCAAAUUUGAAAUCUGGCGCUUUCAGCGUCCGAGUUGUAAUUUGCAGAGGGCGCUUUGGCGUUGGCAGCGGUCGAAGUUCCUUGGAACAGGUCGUCACAGAGGGUGAGAAUCCCGUACGUGGCCGCAUGUCUUCGCCGUGUAAAGCCCCUUCGACGAGUCGAGUUGUUUGGGAAUGCAGCUCUAAAUGGGAGGUAAAUUUCUUCUAAAGCUAAAUACUGGCCAGAGACCGAUAGCGCACAAGUAGAGUGAUCGAAAGAUGAAAAGCACUUUGGAAAGAGAGUCAAACAGCACGUGAAAUUGUUGAAAGGGAAGCGCUUGCAGCCAGACUUGCCUGCCGUUGCUCAUCCGGGCUUUUGCCCGGUGCAUUCUUCGGUAGGCAGGCCAGCAUCAGUUUGGGCGGUGGGAUAAAGGUCUCUGUCACGUACCUCCUUUCGGGGAGGCCUUAUAGGGGAGACGUCAUGCCACCAGCCUGGACUGAGGUCCGCGCAUCUGCUAGGAUGCUGGCGUAAUGGCUGUAAGCGGCCCGUCUUGAAACACGGACCAAGGAGUCUAACAUCUAUGCGAGUGUUUGGGUGUCAAGCCCAAGCGCGUAAUGAAAGUGAACGGAGGUGGGACCCCGCAAGGGUGCACCAUCGACCGAUCCUGAUGUCUUCGGAUGGAUUUGAGUAAGAGCAUGGCUGUUGGGACCCGAAAGAUGGUGAACUAUGCUUGAAUAGGGUGAAGCCAGAGGAAACUCUGGUGGAGGCUCGCAGCGGUUCUGACGUGCAAAUCGAUCGUCAAAUUUGGGCAUAGGGGCGAAAGACUAAUCGAACUAUCUAGUAGCUGGUUCCUGCCGAA
rnacentral:rRNA from 1 species